GACGAACGCUGGCGGCGUGCUUAACACAUGCAAGUCGAACGGAAAGGCCCUGCUUGUGUGGGGUGCUCGAGUGGCGAACGGGUGAGUAACACGUGAGUAACCUGCCCUUGACUGUGGGAUAACUUCAGAAAACUGGGGCUAAUACCGGAUAGGAGCUCCUGCUGCAUGGGGGGGGUUGGAAAGUGUCGGCGGUUGGGGAUGGACUCGCGGCUUAUCAGCUUGUUGGUGGGGUAGUGGCUUACCAAGGCUUUGACGGGUAGCCGGCAUGGGAGGGUGACCGGCCACAUUGGGACUGAGGUACGGCCCAGACUCCUACGGGAGGCAGCAGUGGGGAAUAUUGCACAAUGGGCGGAAGCCUGAUGCAGCAGCGCCGCGGGCGGGAUGACGGCCUUCGGGUUGUAAACCGCUUUCGCCUGUGACGAAGCGUGAGUGACGGUAAUGGGUAAAGAAGCACCGGCUAACUACGUG
rnacentral:rRNA from 1 species